AAAGAGUUAGUUAAAAGAUAAUAAAAGAAUGUCAAUCUUUAGUUCCUUAUAAAAGGUCUUUUUA
rnacentral:tRNA from 1 species